rnacentral:rRNA from 1 species
UACGAAGGGGGCUAGCGUUGCUCGGAAUCACUGGGCGUAAAGCGCACGUAGGCGGACUCUUAAGUCGGUGGUGAAAUCCUGGAGCUCAACUCCAGAACUGCCUCCGAUACUGGGAGCCUUCGAGUCCGGGAGAGGUGAGUGGAACUGCGAGUGUAGAGGUGAAAUUCGUAGAUAUUCGCAAGAACACCAGUGGCGAAGGCGGCUCACUGGCCCGAUACUGACGCUGAGGCACGAAAGCGUGGGGAGCAAACAGGG